rnacentral:lncRNA from 1 species
GUUUUAGACGUUUACUGUUUUAGGCCGAUACAUUUUGUGGUAAUUUGCUGCACAGAGAUUGGUAGCAGAUAAAGAAACAAGCACAGAGGAAUGUAGCACUGAGAAAUGGAAGACGUCACACUCCUAUGAUGCAUUUGGACCACCUAGAUCCAGCCAUGCCUGAAGCCAGGAAUCUCUGGCCUUCUCAGGCAAUGAGCCCACCACUCUUCCAUUUGCUCAAGCCAGUGUGAGUUGGGUCUCGUGCAGUUGAGGAGCCUGCAUCAAUACAGGGGCUUUAAUAAAAAUAUAUGUACCAGGAACCCCACCCAGGUCUCUGGGCUGCCCAUGCCCAUCUUGUGAGAAGGGAGAGAACCAGGUACGGAUACUCAGAGAGCCAGCCAGAGAGCUGUAACCUCCCCUCCAUCGCUGAAGAGUCUUGCCUAUGCACAUGGCCCUGGCCUGUGCCAAUGGGCUGUCACUCAGGGUCCUGGCUUCAGGGCCCGCGUGGCUGGGGAUGCAGAGGUAGGAGGGGGCCUUGGAGUCAGCCUCAUCCCUCAGGCCCCUGGGGGGCCCCUGGACCAGCUGGAGCAGGGAGAGUGAGGGGGCGUUUGUGACAUCGCCAGAUGAGACGAUGACUAAUGGCCCUGCCAGGCCCUGGGGACCCAGGGCAGGCUCAGCACAGCAGAUGUUCUGUGAUUGCAGGAAGUCGAGGCAGGGGGGCUCAGGGCCCGCGGCUCAGCUCUGCACUAUGGCAGCCCGGGCCCAGCCUUGUGAAGAACGAAGCCCUCGGAGCGGGUCCCAGGUGCUGACGGUGCGGCUGAUCCAGGGAACUGUGGGAAGGGUGGUCUCGAUGGACGGUUCACCACAGCCUCGUGAGAGACGAAGGAGGACUCUGAUGCUCAAGGCCACACAGCUAGAAAAUGACAGAGGCAGGACGGGAACCCACCAGCCACAGCUAGGUACCCUGCUUCUCAUUCGAGGUUUGUACUCAGACAGGUGUCCUGAGUCAGGGCACCCCACCCCCCACCCCAGGGGGUGUAUCCAACCUGGCUGCACAUCACAUCCCUCAGGAAGCUCUGAGAGUUUCGAUUUGGUCCAAAUCCCUGGGGUGGCAUCGGGUGGCAGGAGGUUCCUAAGCUCCUGGGUGAUUUCACUGUGCAGCCACAUUGGAGAUCCUGAGCUUCAGGGGACCCGGAGCCGCCUUAGCAGCCAAGCUGGGCAGGACUGCAGGAGGGCUGUGCAGGUGGCUGCCCGCCACCCAGGGGAUGGCUGUCCCCUGCAGGGGAUCCCGGAGCAGGCCAGGCCCCACAGUGGCCAGGGUAACUAA